ensembl:lncRNA
GCCAUGUGCCGUUACAGCAAAGUGAUGACAGACAAGUGAAGUCUGAUUUUCAGUGGAAGAGCGCUGAAAACACCACGUAUUACACAGCCUUGCAAGACCAUAAGAAACCAAACUGAGGAAGUCAAGUGGUGGUUGGUUCCAGUCACUUCGUAACUCUUAACUUGUGGUGCCCUGCCUUCCAGAUGGCACAGUAUGCACUGAGAACCUGCAGCGGGUAGAAGUAGCAAGGUUUCACCUCCUUCAAGCCUCUUUGAGGCGAGGAUGAAGAGCACAGCUAGGGGCUGGGGCCACUGUAGCUGUAUGCCAAAAGGAGUGGGGCGGCACAGUGGCAAAUGAUGUGAAUUCUUCUGGCCAGCUAAGCUGAAGAAUUAAAAAAGUAGGUUUUAUCUGCAGUAAGCUGACAGAUCAGUACCCAGGAGUCCCAGUCCUCUGGCCUCUUAGAAGGAGCUGUUUUGCCCAAGAGAUUUUCCUGCCCUCUGGUGUAGUGAGCUCUACAUCAAGUCUUUACUACUGGGUUCUUGGCUUCCUGGGCUUAACAUGCUGGACAUUAAAGGGGCUGACAUAUGCUGAGCUUUUCUGAUGUUCUGUGUUUUUAAAUGCUUUUGAGACUUCUGCUCAAAAAUGCUCUGCUUUGAUUUCCAUUUAAUUUCCUUAAAAUUGUCACUGGAGCUGCUGAUAUCUCUGACAUGUGUCAAACAUAUCCUUUUCUCUGCUCUUUCUCCCCUACUACGCAGUACAUACAGAGAUAUAUAAAAGAAAAAGGGUUCAGCUCAGUACUUCACUAUCCUCCUCCACAUUUCUUUGAGCACUCAUUCCAAUUUUUUUAAUUUAAAAAAAAAAUCACAUAACAUAGUGCAUCUAUUUGAACAUAUAAUUGUUACAUGUAGAGUUUCCCCAGAGAAUUAUAUGAUCUCAACCUGUCUUCCUUAGGCAGCAUAUAAUCAUGCAACCUACUUGUUCUUUGCUGCUCUUUUUUCUUUUUUCCCCAAUACUUGUUUUAAGUCUUCCAUCUCGUCUAGACAUUUUUGACAUACAUCGCCUGAUCUUCAGCAGCUGCAGCAGCCUCAAUAGGUGUAUAAACAGGUCCAGUACCUCAACAGCACACAAGUCCUAAUUCCAGUGUGCCAGCACUGGGCAGAGACCACAGUUAAUCCUAGCCCUUCCAGCCACAUCUUUUGCCUCAACAGGGGGCUUUUUUUUUUUUUUUUUAAUAAUGAGACUCUCUCUUAAUGGGAAAACUGCCACAGUGACCAAAAUUGGCUGUGAUUCAUGAUCACUGGCUCUGGAUGCUACAGUAAUUGCUGUUAAUAGGUAGAAGUUUUCCACUGCAGUAGGACUGAAUAGGAAAAAUAGGGCUGCCACCUUUUUUUCCUACUUUUUUUUUUUAAGGGGAAAAAAAAUGGUAUUUCCAUCCAAAACCUCUUUGUAAAUGGAAAGAUGGCUGUGAUAUUUCUCAGAAACUGUGGCUUGCCUGCCUUGCCUUUCCAUUGCCUUUCCAUUGCCUCUCUUACCAUCCUGCAUCCUCCAUUAUUACAGCACAGCUGGAGCUCUGUAAACCACAGCCUGCCUAGUAUGGGAAGAGCUGAAACAAUACAGCAUCAUGUUGGCUGACCAAGCACUCUCCCCAAAUUCCCACUGAGUGCUGCAGCAGUAUUUCAAACUCCCAUAAGAGGCCCGGACAGCAUGCUACUAGGGGAACAGCUCCAUUUUCUGUCAGCAAAAAGCCUUCUUCCCAACCCCAGCCUGAAUGAUACCAGUCCUUCAGCUAACAGAGACUGAGGUUAAGUACUGCCUGAGUCUGGAGGGAAUCUCCUUUCCCAGUUUGUGCACAUCUUAUACCGUGGCAGAGAAAGGAGAAUGAAAAACUGUUUGCAGGCAUGUAUUUAAAAAGCAUAAACAAGAUUACCUUGGUGUAAGUUCACAUCUCCUCAGCUCCAGCUUUUUGCCAACUAUCUAGCAAAUACAUUCCCAGGCAGGAAUGUUUGCUGAGACAAUAUAUCACAUUUUUUAGACUUUUGUACAAAGUAGCAUUGAAAUAUGUAGCAGUGAGUAUUUACCUCUCCAACCUGAACAUCAAAACUGCCCUCAUCCACUUGAAGAUUAGAAACAUACCAGGGUGCUGAUGUGUCCAAAAGGCAAAACUUCAGAUCCAAGCAACAUAUUUGGAGAUUGUGCGUACACACCCUGAAUGCCCCAAGUACAAACACCUUGCACAGCAACUGCAAGGUCCUGGUGCACUCCAGAAAGGAGGAAAUAGCUGCAAACUGUGUUUUAUUAAAUCCGGAGUUCUUCACAGACAAUACACUUCACUCCCACCUUUGACCACACUCCUCUGCUGCCUUCACAGAGCUGUGCCCGAGCUGGCAGAAAGCAGGGGAUUGCUCUUUUCUGGUCUUUGGGAUGUGGUCAGUGCAGCCCAAGGCCAUUGAGUGAGUCAGACCUACCCUGUUUUCCCUUAUCUCGCCAGCCACUGAUACCUGCAGUCAAUCCAUUUACAAAUUCACACAGCCUCUGACAUCAAUAAUAAUAAUAAUACUAGAAAAAAAAUAUUGUAUAUAUGCUUUUGUUUCUCCUUUUUUUAAAAAAAUUGUUAUUAUUUUAUUAUUUUGGAGCCUUUAAGGAUUGCACUUAACAGGUCCUUUCAGCAACUGCAACGUGUUUUGAAAAAACAAUAAUCCCUUGAUCCAAGACUUGUCAAAGAAAAUCAACAUUAUAUUGCAGCAGAGUAAUGUAACCUUGAUACAAAUUGCAUUUGCAGCCCUUGUGAAGAAGCAUUGCUUCUCCAUGACAAUCCAUGAGAAACUGAAGUAGCUAGAGAUCAGCAGGCUGUACAUCUAUGUCUGUCACAGCACUUCUCUCUGAAGCCCAAUGCAGCGUACAUCAGACAGUCCUGGGUGCCAGGAGACCUGGCUGCUUGACUCUGACACUGACUCAUUUGUCGACUGAUAAGUCAUUGGAAAUGACUCAUUUUAUCCCCCUGCAGAUGCUGUGAGGGUUACCCUGACAGUAGAGAAGCUUCCUAUGAUCCAUGGCUGGAACUGGCAACAAAUACUGUAUCAGUACUCCCAAUGAGCCCAGCUCUUCUCUUACCAUUUUAUGGAGCUAAGCAGGGACUAUUCUGCAAUGCAAGCUGAUGGAAACUUAUCAAAGCAGAACCCCAAAACUUCAGUGGCUCAAAGCAACACACGGGUGAGGCAAGUGAGAAUCCAGACCAGAUGAACAAAGGAAAAAAAAAAACAGUAUGGUUUAUCACCAUCUGCUUCAUAUCCAGUGCUAUCCAUAACCAGCAACUACCGCUACCAGCUCACUGACAGUGGCCAAGGCUAUGCCAUGAUGCCUGGGCAGUAGGGCCCUGAGCCGCUACUAUACCAUUUGAAAGUGCUCUAUUUUCCCAACAGUGUUCUCUGUUACUGCCUUAACUGGCAGCUCUAAUCUGCCAGAUCAUUAAUGAGAAACUAACGAAGAGUGUCAGGAUAAUAGAGAAGCAGUAAUGAAGAUUAAUUUCACCCCAGAGAGGAUAACAGGCCUUUUUGGAGACAUAGUGCACCACAACAGCAUUUGGAGGGUCAAAAAUAGGGCAAUAAAUGUUAAUUAAUAGCAAACUUCUAUUUUGCUCUUAAUUAUGAGUGGUACCCAGGGAGUUCAAAUAAGCCUCUCAUUCCAUUCUAGCUACUGCUUUCCCAAGCCAGGACCUGUAAGCCAUACAAAAAUACGAUGACACGUGUGAGCACAGGUCUCUCAAAGGCGAACCAACAGAGCCAGAGAGACUAGGACUGUCUAGGCUUUAUUCCCUGGUAGCAACUACAAGUCUUCUUUUCUGAAGAUGAGUUGGUUGAGCUUCUGUAUGCACCUGGAAUGAGGCAAGACCUUCAUGAGUGACUCCUGCACCUUGGGCCAGACCAGGUUCCUCUCUCUGUAACAAGCUCCUGGCAUCUUCUGGCAGCCCCUGGAGUUAGUUCUCCCACGGUACAAAUCCCCACUGCAUCACUUCUUGACAAAGGAUGCUGUGGGUGGUAGAAAUGUAUGUAAGGCUGCUACAUGCACAGAAGUUAUUUACUAGCCCAGAGAGUUCCUGAAGGCUGAAGCAGCAUGGCAAGACCAUGCAACACCACAGAGCCAUGUUAUUUGGGAAUGUGACCGAGUUCCCAAGCCUUCUGCUCACUUCCCCUGUAGCUUUAUGUCACUUCAGCCCCUUCACCUCAAUUCCUUGUCCACCACAUGAAGGCACUUUGGUGGCUGAGAUUGUAGGAUCCCACAUAAUGCUACCAUCUCUGGUGCUCAUGUGUCCAUGUUGCCUCAUGCAACUGCCUUCAAGACAUAACUGUGGCAACGGUCUUUACACACAUUUAAUGAGGAUGAUGCCACCCUUCCUUUAUCUACUCUAUGUAAAUCCAAAAAAAAAGGCAGAAAAUACCCCUAGGCCAUCUCUACACUGGAGAAGAAAACACCAAGUUUUGCUGCUCUAUGUGAUCCAUAAAGCAGUGAGCAGUUAGGAUUCCAGUCUUGCCUGGAUGGAGUCCAAAUGGAAGCAAAUCCUCAGCAGGCAGGACAGUCCUUCCAGCUCCAGUACCAUAGAGGGGAAACAUACUGGGUCUAAAGAAAAUCAAUGACUUUGCAUAUGCUGUAUUCAGAGAGUGUCUGGCAGAGAAAUUGCCCUACUUACCACAAAAGCAGCAACAGUGCCACUGACACAGCAGGGGACAGACCGACUCCAGGCCUUGUUUCAGAUCUUGUUUUCUAAUUGGAGCAGGCUGUGCUGCCAGCAAGAAAACGGGAUUCUUUACAAGAGCAGAGGUACAUAUCUCCCACUACAUUUUCAAAGGUGAGACAACAGCUCCAUGGCAGUGUUUAACUCUUGCCCAGUUGACAUCCACAGCAAAAGUCCAUGCUCUCUCCCCAGGAAAGAUAGGCAAGGGGGAAUUCAGUCAGCUGCAAAGAUGGGUAGUGGCUGCUGCAGUCAAGGACACAACUGCAUGUUCUGCAAAGAAGUUCUUGGGUUGAGCACUUUCAAUAUGCAGCUUAUCUUUCAAGUAAUGCCAGGCAACCUUUCCAAGGAUAAACAAGUUACUUUGCUUAUCAGUGGAGCAAAGGGAAGCCAUCCUAAUUCUGUCUGAACUUUUGCACAGGACUAAUUGCCUGCUGAGCAUUUUAAGGGGCAGCAGUGUCAUUUCUCUUACAUUUAUGUGUCCUUUCAAAAUAGUGUUGGCAAAGACUCUGAAUCAGAUGCCACCUCUUCCAACAUGCACUCUCCAGUGAAGAGAACAUCAGCUGGACCUGGUUCAGGCCAAAGUUAUAGGUGCCCAACCUUUUGGCUUGGCUGGGCCACACUGAGUGAAGACGAAUUGCUUGGGCCACAUAUAAAAAAAAUAGUUAAUGCAGGAAAGGUGUGGGCCACAUAUAAAAUAAAUAGUUAACGUACAUAAGUAACAAAAUUAUAUAUAUAUAUAUAUUUUAGUUAUUAAAACAUUAAAAGACAAGGGCAACGGAAACAUAAAGGUAUCAGACUGGACAUGCAUGGUCUAGAGGUAUUCUGUCCUUCUGCAAGAGUAUGCUGCCCAGACACCCACUGGAAAUGCUGCUCCCUCAGCUUCUGAAUAAAUUGCCUUGGGCAUUCUGCUAAGCUGAGCAUUUAAAGGAAAGGUGUACCCACCUCUCAUAGACAGCAGAAGGACACUAGGCACUUAAUUCUGGUAAGCUCAUUUGAAAAUGCUGCAUUUCAGAAGGAAUUCCCUCACAGUUCAGGAAGAAAGAGUUACUGACAUGCUACUUCACAUGGACUGUCAACAAAUCCAUGGGUCCAGAUGUGAUCUACCUGAGGCUACUGAGGGAGCUGCCAGAAGUUAUUGCCAAGCUGCUCUCCAUCAUUUAGCAGCAGUCAUGGCCAACCAGGGAGGUCCCAGACCACGAGAGACUUGACAAUGUUCCACCCACCUACAAGAAGGGUCAGAAGGAGAAUCCAGAGAACUACAGGCCUGUCAGCCUGACUUUGGUGUAAGGAAAGUCACAGAGCAGAUCAUCUUGAGUGCAAUCACUCAGCGUGUGCAGGACAACCAGGAGCUCAGGCCAAGCCAACAUGGGUUCAUGAAAGGCAGGUCCUGCUUGACCACCUGAUCUCCUUCUACAACCAGGUGAUCCACCUGGUGUAUCUGGAAAGGGCUGUGGAUGUGAUCUACCUAGACUUCAGCAAAGCCUUUAACCAUUUUCCACAGUAUUGUCCUAGAGAAGCUGGCAGCCCAUGGCUUGCAGAGGUGGACUCUUCAUUGGGUGAAAUACUGGCUGGAGGGCUGGGACCAGAGAGUGGUGGUGAACAAAGCUAAACCCAGCUGGUUACUGGUUGCAAGUGGUGUUCCCCAGGGGUUGGUAUUGGUGCCUGUCCUGUUCAAUAUCUUUACUGAUGAUCUGGAUGAGGGGAUUGAGUACAUCUUCAGCAAGUUUGCAGACACCAGUCUGGGUGAAGUGUACAUCUGCUUGAUGUUCGGAAGGCCCUCCAGGGAGAUCUGGACUGGCUGGAUCAAUAGGUUGUACCUCAAGUACUGUGUUCAGUUUUGGGCUGUCUUACUACAAGAAAGGCUUCAAGGCCCUGGAGCAUGUCCAGAGAAGGGCAACAAAGUUGGUGAGGGAUGUGGAGUAGAAGCCUCAUGAGGAGCAGCUGGGGGAACUGGGAUUGUUCAGUCUGGAGAAGAGGAGGCUCAGGGGAGACCUUAUCACUCUCUAAAACUCCCUGAAGGGAGGUUGUGGUGAGGUGGGCAGUCGGCCUCUUCUCCCAUUAGCUGGCAAUAAGACAAGAGGGAAUAGCCUGCAGUUGUGCCAGGGGAGAUUCAGGACAUUAGGAAAUGCUUCUUCCCCAAGAGAGUGGUCAGGCACUGUAUCAGGCUGCCUAGGGAGGUGAUGGAGUCACCAUGCCUGGAGGUGUUCAAGGGAUGUUUAGAAGUUGUACUGAGGGACAUGGUUUAGUGGGAAAUAUUGGUGAUGUGUGCACAGUUGGACUGCAUGAUCUCAGAGGUCUUUUCCAAUCUUGGUGAUUCUAUGAUUCUAGGCUGAGACCAAUGGGAUGAAGCUCAACCAAGUGUGUGGUCCUGCACUUUGUCCAUAACAACCCCAGGCAAUGCUACAGGCUUGAGGCAGAGUGGCUGUAAAGAUGCAUGGAGGAAAAGGACCUGGGGGUGGUAGUCAACAAUCAUCUGAACAUGAGCCAGCAGUGUGCCUAGAUGGCCAAGAAAGUCAAUGGUAUCCUGAGUUAUAUCAGAAAUAGUGUAGCCAGAAGGAGCAGGGAGGUGAUCAUCCCCUGUACUCAGCACUGUUGAGGCUGCACCUCAAGUGCCAUGUCCACUUUUGGACCCCUCACUACAAGAAAGACAAUGAGGCCCUGGAGCGUAUUCAGAGAAGAACAACAAAGCUGGUGAAGAAUUGGAGCACAAGUCCUAUGAAGAGAGGCAGAGGGAAUGGGGAUUGUUUAAUCUGGAGAAGAGGAAGCUCAGGGGAGACUCCAUACUCUCUAUAGAUCACUCUCUAUAAUUCCCUAAAGGGAGGCUGUAGCAAGGUGGAGGUCAGUCGAAGAGACUAGCAGGUAACUAGCAAUACGACAGCAGAGAAUGGCCUCAAGUUGUGCCAGGGGAGGUUCAGGUUGGAUAUCUGGAAGAAUUUCUUCUCAGAAAUAGUGUUGAGUUAUUGGAACAGGCUGCCCAGGGAAGUGGUGGAGUCACAUCCCUGGAGGUCUUCAUGAACCAUGUAGAUGUGGCAGUGAGGGACAUGGUUUAGCAGGCAUGGUGGUGAUAGGUUGGUGGUUGCACAAGAUGAUCAUAGUGGUCUUUUCCAACCUUAAUGAUUGUAUGGUUCUAUUAUUUCAGUGUUCAAAGUUCUACUCUAAUUAGCCAAGUAAUUGCCUGUCAUGACUGUGCUCUUAAGCAACUGGCAGUAGAGCUAACUUACACUGAUUCACCUUCUGACUCAGUCAUUUAUUUGCACAGUUUCCAGCACUGGGAGUUGAAAUAAUGACACGUAUUCCAUAUGUUCACAAGAUAAUUCAUAAACUAUGAAGAAUAUAUGACUUCAUGACCAUCUAUGUCAGGCUUUCCUAGCUUCAUGACCAAAUAAAAGCAAUCAGAUCUAUUGUCAAUUCUAGGUGUCCUUAAAUAAGCUUGGGAAAAUAUUAAUACAGGCAGAUUCUCUUUUUCCCCAUUUUUAAGACAAAUUCCAGCACUGAGAGAGCUCUGAAGGCUGUCAUAAUUAAAGACAAAGCCAUUCCUCUUCUACAGAAUUAGUCCCUCCUGCCUGAUUUUGGCUGGUGUCUCCUCACUUUGCAGGAGCAGCCAUUUAGGGGGCUGGAAAACCCUCGUGGCACUGUGAUUCUUUUCUAGCUUUGUCUUCCACAUUAUGUAUGCCCAACAGCUGGUGGCAGCUGAAAUAUGGUGACUGCUGCCCAGCACACAGCACCACAGUGCUCUCAUCAGGGUCAGUGCAAGCCACUUCCAGCUGCAGCAAGAGCCUCUGAGCCUUUCACAUUUAUUCCCUCUUGUAUUGUCCAAACUCCAUUCCGGUGGCCUCAUCACCCACAGCCCAUGGAGGUUCCCUUUCCUUCAGCAUUUUCAUCCUCCAAGUGGGAUGCCUGACUAAAUUAAAAAGCAGCCUGAUGCUGCAGUGCUGUAGGAGUACAGGAGCUUCUUACAGCUUCAUCCAGCCCGUGCCCUGAGGUCCAUUCCUUAACAUCAGCUCCCUGCCAUUUUGAAAGGGAGUGCAGCAUGGCUACCAGUCUGAUGUGGAAGUCAGGCUCAGCUCAGUGAGGCUUGGCCUGGGCCACCCCACAAACAAAUGUUUUUAAGAUAUGUAACUGAACAGAAUAUGCAACAAUUAGUGAAGUAAGAAGAUAAGUAUUAAUCUGAUUUAAAACUACCCAACCUGAACAGAAUUAAAAAUAAACAAAACUCAGAUAUAAUCCUAAUGAACAAUUACUUACUAACAAUUCUUAACAGAUCCUUAAAAUAGAAAGAAUCAUGCUGAAAUAAAAUCAAAGAUUAUUAACAACAAAAAUGUCUUUCAAGAAAAAACAUCAAAUAGGGCCUAGUAAGGAUUCAUUCACGAUGUGCACUGAUGGUGAUCUCUCCCGUCUGUUGACUUGCACUAUGCAUUAGUAUUUCUUUUUCCAUGUUAUGUAGGUUGAUCUGAAUGUAAUGCCUUCUAUCUAUUUCCAUGGAAAUGACAACAGAUGCAAAGAGAACAAUAACACUAUUUAGUAGAGCAAAUUUUCAGCUACAAAACACUAUUUUUCAACAAAGUCAUCACCAUUAGCUGUGUAUUUUCACCAGCAAUGACAAGAGUCUAUGUGCCAUGCUCAUGCAUACCAGAGGAUGUGACCCGUGGCUUCACAGCUGGUAUGAUGGCAUUGUUAUUAGGAAAACGAUGCCCAUGCAGUCUAUCUUUCAUUGGCCCAAACAAACGAUAGUCAGAAAUUGCCAAAUCUGGACUAUACAGUGAGUGUAAUAGGAUUGGUAAUGUGCUCCAUGGUCUUCAAACUACUAUGGGGCCUGGUGUUAUCAUGUUGCAAAAGAAAUAUUGUCAUCUUCUCUGUCCUGACUCUGGAUGUUCAAACCUUCAGCUUAGUCAGCAUUGCAAUGUAGCAGUUAGGACUGAUGAUUUGUUCAGGUUCCAGAAAAUUCAGAAAGAUCACCUCUUUACUCACUGAGAGCUGCAUCUUUAACUUUGUCUUCAAGGAGGAAUUCACAUAUGCCACUCCAUGAACUGCUGUUCUGACUCCAGCCCAUAAUGGUGAUACUGUGUCUUGCCACUGGUAAAGAUGUGAUCCAGCAAACUGUCACUUUCAGCCUUGCAUUGGUUCAAUAGGUCUGACAAAUGUGCAUGUGGUGUUCUUUCUGUUCCAGUGUGAACAUCUGUGGGAUCCAUCUGGUGCAAACUUUGCAAUACUGCAACAUUGCCACCAUCAUUUCCAACACACUGAAGUCAGCAUUUCUUUCCUUAGAGUUCCCUGGUCAUAAUCUGCCACAUUGCUUGGAUGAGCAGAUCAAAACACUCUUCAUUUUGUGGUGACAGCAGUGCACAGACAUCCAGAACAUGGCUUGUCUUUCACGUCACCAUUACCACUGUUGAAAUGCACCACUCAACACCUCACGGUGCUCAUGUCCACUGUUUGGUCUUCAAAAACAUUCAGCAAAUGUCAAUGAAUGUCAGUAAGUGCCUUCUUUUUUUUUUUUUUCUCCAAGGAGGAAAUUCAAUUCCAGCCUUCAUCUUCAUGUGCACUUCCAUGUCAGAUUUACCAUCUGCUGCAAUCCAACACAUGGUGACAAAAUGUAAUGGGAUAUUGGCAGGGAGGUUCAGUCUCUACUGCCAUACCACCAACAUCUGUUUUGAUGUUGUAGACCAACAUCAUAGGACAGGAGGAAAUACUUUUGGAGCAGGUCUUGUAAGCGUUUACCAGCUUCAAAGUCAUCCUUACACUGUAAGCACAUGGCACCUCAUGGUCAGGUCUUGGCUGAUGUCCUCUGUAGGCAUAAAGCCUCAGUUUAGUACAAAUCCAAUUUUAAAUGGAAUACCAGGCUCUUAAAAAAAAUAACCACCAUAAAGGUACCAGACUGCAUAAUGGAUAUUAGCCAUGCUCCUAAGUGUCUUCCUGAAUGAAGGCCAUGGCCUAUUGAUUACAGAUGAUGUAUUAACAACAUAAUUUUCUCAGAAAUGAUGAUAAAGUCUGCAUCUAGGCCAAGGUUAUCCACAGGUACAGCAAUGCAGAUUGACAUGGGAGUUACAAGCACGCUGUUGGACAGUCACACUGACAGCACGUGGCUCCCAGCAGCCCACGCUAACAGCCCCCACUCCCCUGAGCUGCAACACACACCUUCACAUGCUACAUGAGUCCAGCACAGUGGGUUCAUCAACACCUUCUCCUGCCAGAGGCAAUUCUGAGUGGCAAAAACUGCUGCUAAUUGUACACAGACUGCCAUUCAUGAAAGUGUGCUGUGCGGAGAUUUAUAGCUGUGCCUGUGCAGGUCUCUAAAUGAGAGGUAAUUAAUAGAAAUUAAUUAGCAAGUGUUAAUUGAGUAAAAUCAAUUAGAAAAUGCUAUACUAACAGCUGUACGGUAGGAGUGCAAAGGACAGCUCUGCACGGUUGUUAGGCUGAGCAGCCAACACAAGAAACAGCUAGCAAGCAUGGGACAUGGCACUUUUCUCUGUGCUGUUUUGCUGCGUGAUGCUGCAACCCUGGGAAGUGGUAACAGAAUGUGUAAAUCUCAUGUCAUUUUUUCCUGAGCAACAUGAGAUCCACCUAAGAGUGGAUUCUGAAGGUCUGAGAUUCUUCAUUUCCCGAGGUGCAAUCCUAUGCCUAUAGCACCUUGCAAUUAGCCAGAGGGGCUUAGAAGAUGAAAUCUCAUGGGUCUGGACCAGCGCUCCUGGUUCUAGGAACGGAAGUUUUCUUGGUGGUAGUGCCAUCCUCUUGCAUGAGCCUACAAAACUGGAGCCUGUAGCACAAAUAAGUAAAAUAUUAGUGCCAUAUUGUGCUGCAAAUGCUGCAGAAGCAGAACAACCACAGACUGUCACUUCAGCAUUGCAUUGGCAAGAGUUGUUUUUAUUUACAUCUGCUGUUUUCAUCACUGCAUGACGAAACAGAAAGGAGGAGAUGUUCCAGAACAGUAUCUAGGUCAGGGCCAUAUUUUUUGUCUCCUACCCAGGGGACAGUGAUCUUUGGCAGCUUCCACAAGGGCUGAGUUCCCCUCAAAAUUAAUCCAGGCCAAAGCCCAUGCCCUUCUCGGAACCAACCAGCUUCAACAUUCACAUCCCACAGGCUGCCCUGAAUCAAAGCUGGUUCGUACACAGCAGUGACAUUCAGGCAACUCAGAAGUUAAUGAUGCAGGAGAACAGCUGGGUGUGACUGAUACGAAAGGGGAGAAUGUGCUUCUAGCUUUUCAAUCACAGUUAAUCAUUAAAACAUUUCAUGGUCACAGGUGCUGGCUUCCUUACAAGCUCCCCUUAUCAGCCAUAAUUAUUUCCUGAUCUGCUUUCACCUAAGUACCUGGCAAAUUUAUGCACAACACCCUUGAAUCACCUGACUGCAUUUAUUGCCCUGUAAUCCAGGUCAAAUGGGCCUCUGCUAUGUCAGCUGCAACGUUUACAGCAUGUUAUUUCUCCCAGCUCAUGCCUAAAUGUAAGAGCUGUUCUGCCCACUGCCUUCCCUUUAUACUACUCCUCUUCCCGUGACAAAGCAAAACAGAGCAGUAAGCUAAAUAUCUCAGAACAUCUACCUUAUCUCCUCCACCAAAACACAACUCCUGCAUAAAGCCCACAAGAGUUCUGCUUCCAACCCAAUUCUACUUCACUCUACAUUUUCAAUCAUUUUAAUUCUACAGAUAUUGUCUAGACAACUGAAUUAAUGCAUUUCUAUUUACACUCCUUUCCUUUCCUUUUUUUUUUUGUUGUUGUUGUUGUUGUUUUUUUGUUUUCUGACAAAGACUAGCUCACGUCCAUAGAGGAGUGGGAUCUAAAUCCAGUGAUAGACUGAAAUACAUUACAGUAUGUUAUUAAGCAUGUCAGAGCCAGCAGAGGUGGGACUCAGCUUUCUGCUGGGUACAGUCUGGAGUUAGCAACUUAACUCUUUUACUGAAUAAAAAUGGAUAGAAUAACCCGGCCCAGCAUGGUAGGUUUGAACACAUGAAGUCAAAUCCUGAAGCCCUGUGUAAGUGGAGCCAGUGGAAAUUUCCAAGAUCAGGACAGGGCCUGCACUUUGAUAAGUAUUAUCAAUGUACAUAAAUAAAAGUAAGAACUGGAGAUCCAGUUCCCAUUGCAGCUCUGCUUAACAGGCAGAAAUUCAACUGUUCUCAGUGAAGCAGAAGCUGUCCCAUCUACAGGUACAUGAACCUACAUGUGUACAUAUACCUGUGUUGUACAGCACCUACCUGAGCUACCAACAAGAUCUUCCUAUUACAACAUAGGCAAAGGGGACAGAGGUCUCCAUCCAGGGAGAGGAAGAGUUGAGAAAUGGAAGCAUGGCUUUUCAUGAUCAAGUUCAUCUUCUUGAUGAGACAGUAACAUCUACAAAAAGGAACAAAUAAGUAUCGAAGGGGGAUUUUGUUUUCACUGCUUAAGAUCAUGAAAAUACUGUUUUAGGGAAAUUCAAAACCAUGUAGUAAGCAGGGGAUGUACAUGGAAUAACCCCAAGGCCAGAUUACAUUGCUGUUGCUUAAUCUUGGCGUCUGAUACAUGGUUGACUCUGCUUGCAGGCAAUUGCAAGGUCAUUGUGAAACACUAGUUAUCAACAAUUCAAAACAAUGCUUCCUCUUUCUUUCUAGCAUAGUAUUCACCUAAAACAGCCACUAAUUCAGAGAGCUCUCAAAUAUGAACGAGAAUUUGAAAAUGCCCUGCUCUGCUUGUCUUCUCCUGCUCACUGCAGUCAAGUCUCUUCCAAGGCAGACCAGGGCACUGCAGGGACACUGGGCAUGCUCUGAGAGCCGAGACAGGACACCAGCAGAGUCUAAGAUAGGAGCUCAGAGAAAUGUCUACCCUCACGUCCAGUUCUCUACCGUGUGAGCACACCUUGCUGCUCAAACAGUUAUCUAUCAUUCUGCCUGUAGCCACUGCAUAUAGUGCUUUCAAAAUACCGGCUCAAUGCUCAGAACGAAGGCAUGCAGGAUCACUGGCAGUCCUACAGAAACUCUAGGGGAAAAGAUGGUAAACUUUGCCACUGUGGAAGAAGUCUGCAAUGCAUCUAUGCCAUAUUCCCUGUGGGGGGGGGGGGGGGGGGGGGUGGUCUCAUCACUCUCUCUUGAAAAGCACAGGCAAUAAACAGGGAAGAACAGACGUGGUGAUUUUGCAUACUGCACAGCCUCUGUCUCCACGUAGGUGGAUGCCACAGCUCAGAAAAGCGACAGCAGGGGGAGGUGACAGAGGUCUGCAGAGACACAAAUAGUGGCAAGUCGUUUGAAGUGUUCAAGACAACUGCAUCCUGGGCUGCAUCAACAGAGGGGUGGCAGCAGGGCAACGGAGGGGACUGUCCCCAUCUGCUCUGUCCUUGUGAGGCCCCAUCUGGAGUACUGCGUCCAGGCCUGGGGUCCCCAGCACAGGAAGGACAAGGAGCUGUUGGAGUGGGUCCAGAGGAGGCCACGAAGAUGCUCAGACCGCUGGAGUACCUCCCCUGUGAAGAAAGGUUAAGGGAGUAGGACUUGUUUAGCUUAGAUAAGAGAAUGCUCUGGGGAGACCUCAUUACAGCCCUCCAGAACUUGAAGGGGAGCUCAUAAGCAGGAGGGAAAGCAACUUUUUACACAGGCUAAUAGUGACAGGACAGGGGGAAUGGCUUUAAACUAAAAGAGGGAAAAUUUAGGAUAGAUGUUAGGAAAAAAUUCUUUACUCAGAGGGUGUUAAGGCCCUGACACAGGCUGCCCAGAGAAACUGUGGGUGCCCUAUACCUGGAGGUGUUCAGGACCAGUCUGGAUGGGGCUCUGGGCAGCCUGAACUAGUGGCUGGCAACCCUGCCCAGAGCAGGGCUGUUGGAACUAGAUGGUCUUCAAAGUCCCUUCCAAAUUAAGCCAUUCUAUGAUUCUAUCGCACAAGUAGAACCACUGCACUUAAAGGAUCCACUAAAAAUUACCACAGAGCUGAUGACAGACUUCGGGUGGAUAUGCCAGGGUUAUGGCAGGGGAAGGAUCACACUACCUAGAGUUUCUCUCUCAGGCUUCCCUCAGACACUGCAAACUGGGUGAAGAUGGGCCUUUGGCAUUAGCCAGCACAAAUCUCACUACCAGGGCAUACAACGAUUGCUUAUACUGCAGAACAAUCUGUCUUCUGCCCAGAACUAUACCCAGGCACAUAGCUUUUAGAAACUGCCUUUUUGCUUUCUUGCAACUUUCCAUUUCAGAUUUUCACACUGUUGCUUUCUUUCAGCUUUUUUUACCAUUAUAUAUACACCUAGAUUUUGAAUGACAGUGAAAUAUGCGGCAAUGACAGCCUUACAGCCUGCUGUCAACUGUCUGUCCACAAAUACUUGCACCCUGUCACUGUUGCCUGUGUGUCCUGAGCCUUAACUAAGGAGGCCUCUUUCAGAGCUCAUUCCUCAUCGUGCGUUCAGUCCUCUGCUGAGACAGCCAACAGCGGUGGCAAUAAUGGAAAUCACUCACUGUGGCGUAAUAUCCCAUCCCCAGGGCAUUCAUGUCCCACUGCUGCAAACCCACCAGCUUGGGGGAAUCACCGUGGAGCAGAACCAGGCUUGUCUGCCUGUAUACAACACGUCUCACGCUUUCAUUAUGACAUCCCUGAAGCUGAACUACAAGAUGCCUACCAUAAUCAGCAGCCACAAGAAUUAUUAGCACCAUUCUUUUUAUUUUUAAUGCUGUUUGAAAGACCUUAAUCAAAUCUGAUGAUGGGCAAGGUAGUCACUGAUGGAAUUACGCAAGAGGAAGGAGUGCAUCACCUGUGCUGUGGCUGUGCCUUGCAUCAGUGCUCCUAUAAGUCUCCUAUCAGAGUAACUUGAGCAACCUCUCAGUGGUCAUCUUGGCACUAGCAGAUCAUGUAGGGCAAGCUACAGCCAUAAUAUUUUGAGCUGUGCCAUUCCUUUUUUCAAGCUCACUCACCUGCUAACUGACACCAUGGUGGAUGGCGUUAAACUUCCCCCAUGGGUCCAAAAAGAAUGCUAUUUCCUUUGUUUUUAUUGGAUUUCUGUGCCAAGAAAUUCCUGAAGAUGGAAUUAAGACUCUGGCAUAUACCUGUUUCUUCUUGCUCAGGCCUUGCUUUGCUGUUGCUAGGGCAUCAUCCCAGUCCUGGUUCACUGCAGGCAUAGGUGGAAGUUGCUGGCUUCUGUCAGCUUAAUAGCAGUGCACAUAAGUUCUCUGUCAAGCUGCAUCUUGCCCAUCCGCUCAGCCUUGUUUAAACACAGGGAGGGAGGCAGGGGAUUGUUUCUUGCCUUCUGAGAAAUGUUUCAUGAACCUGGAAUUUUUUUGAGGUCUUUUUCUGAGGUUGGCUUCUCGGUAAGUCUUCUUUCCUGAAAUCCCAGUGAAGCACACAUAACGUUCCAAGAAAUCGCACCUCAGGCUUUGGGGUAGAAGCGUGGGAUAAGUGCAGGUUUGAUUAACAACAAGUAAGUACUUUGCAUGGUUCCCCUUACAAAAAAAAAAAAAAAAGAUAGAAAUAGCUUCCUGUGGGACAUACAUACCCACCAAAAAGCCCCAGCUUCCAACAAACAAAACAAAACAAAAGAGAAAAGACUUCUGAGUUUCUUUCUGAUCUGAACAUGGCCCUCAGACAAGGCCGGUGAUUGAAGUACACCCAGGGUGUCUCACAGACCAAUGCAAAUCACUGCCCCAAGAUGCCUCCCAGCUACUCCUCUCUUCUGAGGACACACCCCCAAGCCUGCUGUGCUCUGCAGGUGGGUCCACUUGCUCCCUGCCAUUAGCAUGAAAACAUGCCACCAGUCAUACCCAUUCUCCAAGGCACAGUCAAGCUGUCAGCCCCAGUGACAGCUCUGCUUCACGACGGCUCUUGAAGUGAGCAGCUCAUGAGGCACCUGGGAGCAGUCAAACUCUUUUACAAGACUGAAGGAUCCAUCGCUUUAACUCCACUUUCUGGGGUCUGUAUUUCCCACGUCCCCAUAUCUAUCUCUGUCUUGCUGCAAACAAACAAACAACCAGCACCUUUACUGGUUAUUUAGCCAUAAAUAACAGCUGAAGUGCAAAGCCCUCUGCCUCUAGCUCCCAGACCACGAAACUGGAAGGCAAAAAGAGGGAAACAAACAGCAUUAAUAUGAUUUAUCUUUUGCAUGCUGGCUCCACCCUCUCUCUCAAGGCUGUGCAUUUCAAUAAUGAGAAACAGGGCACUUCCACUUCCCACGCACAAACCCCCUUUUAUUUCCUACACAGUAAGGAGUUAAGACAUGAGAUUUGUUCAAGUGCUUCCCAUCAGAGCUACCUCUGGCUUUGACUUUGAUAAUUCAGCCCAACUGAUCUUUCUCUGGCAGUGCCAGUAGCAUCAGUAACCAGAGCGAUGGAAGGGCUUUACAGCUUGAAUGGCCUUUGGGACAGCUGGUGGAAGUGCCUGAAGCUCUCAGUUCUGCAUCCUCAAGUUCCUAAGCCAUAGUGUAUUCAUGAAUGUCAUUAUCUUUUAUUGUCAGCUUUGAAACAGGAGCAAAAUAAUGAAAGUGAGAUUCUCAAGCAGCUGCAUUACAUCAGUUACUAGAGGAAACUGAAUUGUGUGAUUGGGAAAUGGUGGCAGCUGCCCAAUUUUUCUGUCAUCCCAAUAUCCUGAUGCCAUCAACUCAUAUGUUGUUGUUUAAGUUUUUCAUCUCGGGCUGAGUUUUUCCAUUCCAUGUCUCCUAGGCCAGGUGUGACAGGAGUGAGUGCUGUUGCCUACCAGCAGAAAAUGAAUGUAGGAGACACGGGAGGAUCGAGAGGUGAUCAGCCAGAAAAAAUAUUAGCCUAGUCUCUGUGCAUUCCAGAAAGCUGCACACUACCCACUUUAACCUCUGUCACCAUGCCCCAAUUUCAGCUAAACUCAUAUUCUGCUAAGCCUUUCUGAAGUUACCUUCAAAGCAUCUGUGGUCACCCAGGUAACAUAACAAUGACUGAAACUUUAAAUGGAGUCAUGCUGAUAGGCCCCCUUAAGAUCCUCAUCAAAAGCUACUGAGAAAGCAUUGAUUUAGAUUUACCAGCAGGAAAAUUUUGUUAUUAGAAUCACAGAAUCUCCAAGGUUGGAAAAGACCCACAGGAUCAUCCAGUCCAACCAUUCGCCCUUCACCAAUGGUUCUCACUAAACCAUGUCCCUCAACACAACAUUCAAAACAUUCUUUGAACACCUCCAGGGUCGGUGACUCCACCACCUCUCUGGGCAGCCCAUUCCAGUGCCUGACCACCCUUUCAGAGAAGUAGUAUUUCCUAACGUCCAGCCUGAAUCUUCCCUGGCGCAGCUUGAAGCCAUUCCCUCUAGUCCUAUCACUGUCACACGAGAGAAGAGGCUGACCCCCAGCUCACUGCAACCUCCCUUCAGGUAGUUAUAGAGAGCAAUAAGGUCUCCCCUGGGCCUCCUCUUCUCCAGACUGAACAAUCCCAGCUCCUUCAGCUGCUCCUCAUAAGGCCUGUGCUCCAGACCCCCCACCAGCUUUG